AUCCAGCUGACGAGUCCCAAACAGGGCGAAACGUGCGUCAAAUUGGU
rnacentral:hammerhead_ribozyme from 1 species